CUCGGGCUACCCGCCUGACCACUGACCAGAUUCCCGCCUCGCCGCUGACCGGCUCGCGCACCAGCCAAGCGACGCCCGCCGGCCCCCCACUGACCUUGUAGCCGCCCCAGACGAACAUGUGGCGCCCGUCGCUGACGGCUACGUGGCCGCUGCGCUCGGCUGGGCAGGCGAGCUCCAUGGAUUCAUAGCUCUCAAAAGCUGGCCCUGGCAAGUCAUCCGCCCGCAGAUCCUCGUUGCCAUCAGCCAUCUUGAGGCUGCACUUUCGUGCACCAAGAAUGUCCACACUUGUGAGCGGUGAGGAGACAAAGAAAAAGGAAAGAAAUGCACAGCGGCGCGUAGCCAGGAGAAGGCGGCGGCGAUGACAGGCGCGGCGCGCGGGCCUGCUGGCCGCCAGUGCUGUGCCUCCCGCCCAGCUCUGCCGAGCUCAGCGCUCCACGGACGCGGCGCCCCUGCGGGCAGUGGGUCGGGGGCGAGGGACGGCGGCGGGGCCCAGGACCCGAGCAGCGCGGGGAGGGCUGCCCACUCGGCCGGCUAGCUCUCGCAGCCUUGCGCCCCGCCUCCAGCAGCCCAGGGCCCUUGUUUACGCCGCGGCCGGAAGCCGCCCGUUCCGCUGACGCGGCUCGCCGGGCUCCAGAAUUGCGGCCGCGCUCAGCGCCCCCAGCGCCGAGUCCUCCCGCCGCCGCGAUUGCCGCAGCCCGCCUUGCUGCCCCAGGCCUGGGCCUGGACGCCCGCGUGGCCCGGCGAGGUCCAGGCACGCUCCGAGUCCCCUACUUUGAAGCAACUGCAAAGAUAUGCUGAGGUUUAAUCAGAUUGGAGCAUUCCUUUUUCUUUGGGGAAGUUUCUCCUUUCUGACUGAGGGAUGUUUUCUAAGGGUUCACAGCCUGGACAAGGCACCGAAAUUGCUCAACAGGUCUCAUUAAAUUGCUGAGGGAUCCUUCUGCCACAGCUUCCUGAACUUCUGGGAUUGCAGGUACACAAUCAAGGGACAAAGAGGAUGAUCUCAAUAGAGACAUGCUUUUGGAGAAAAGCAUGGAAACUUCAAGGAAGAAUGUGGGCCAUCUCAAGAGUGAGAGAUGUCUUUUUAUAAAGAUUCCCAGCCCUUAAGCGAAAUAAGCCAAUCCCAAAGAACCAAAGGCCAAAUGUUUUCUCUGAUAUGUGGAUGCUAAUUCACAAUAAAGCAGUUGUGUGGGUGUGUGCAUGCAUGUGUGAGUGUGUGUGUGGAAA